CCCUUAGAUGUUCUGGGCCGCACGCGCGCUACACUGACGAAGUCAGCGAGCAUGUCCUACGCCGACAGGUGCGGGGAAUCUUGUCAAACUUCGUCGUGAUGGGGAUUGAUUAUUGAAAUUCUUGAUCAUCAACGAGGAAUUCCUAGUAAGCGCAAGUCAGCAGCUUGCGUUGAUUACGUCCCUGCCCUUUGUACACACCGCUCGUCGCUACUACCGAUUGAAUGGUUUAGUGAGAUCUUCGGAUUGGCGCCACUGCGGCUCAGCAAUGGGCUCGGUGGAUGCCGAAAAGUUGAUCAAACUUGAUCAUUUAGAGGAAGUAAAAGUCGUAACA
rnacentral:rRNA from 1 species